GACGAACGCUGGCGGCGUGCUUAACACAUGCAAGUCGAACGGAAAGGCCCUGCUUUUGUGGGGUGCUCGAGUGGCGAACGGGUGAGUAACACGUGAGUAACCUGCCCUUGACUUUGGGAUAACUUCAGGAAACUGGGGCUAAUACCGGAUAGGAGCUCCUGCUGCAUGGUGGGGGUUGGAAAGUUUCGGCGGUUGGGGAUGGACUCGCGGCUUAUCAGCUUGUUGGUGGGGUAGUGGCUUACCAAGGCUUUGACGGGUAGCCGGCCUGAGAGGGUGACCGGCCACAGUGGGACUGAGAUACGGCCCAGACGCGUACGGGAGGCAGCAGGGGGGAACAUUGCACAAUGGGCGGAAGACUGAUGCAGCAACGCCGCGUGCGGGAUGACGGCCUUCGGGUUGUAAACCGCUUUCGCCUGUGACGAAGCGUGAGUGACGGUAAUGGGUAAAGAAGCACCGGCUAACUACGUG
rnacentral:rRNA from 1 species